rnacentral:rRNA from 1 species
GUAUGGAGUUGGAAUCGCUAGUAAUCGCGGAUCAGCAUGCCGCGGUGAAUACGUUCCCGGGCCUUGUACACACCGCCCGUCACACCAUGAGAGUCGGGAACACCCGAAGUCCGUAGCCUAACCGCAAGGGGGGCGCGGCCGAAGGUGGGUUCGAUAAUUGGGGUGAAGUCGUAACAAGGUAAC